UACGGAGGGUGCAAGCGUUAAUCGGAAUUACUGGGCGUAAAGCGCACGCAGGUGGCUGAGUCAGUCGAUUGUGAAAGCCCUGGGCUUAACCUGGGAAUUGCAGUCGAUACUACUCGGCUCGAGUAUGGGAGAGGGCAGUGGAAUUCCCGGUGUAGCGGUGAAAUGCGUAGAUAUCGGGAGGAACAUCAGUGGCGAAGGCAGCUCGCUGGGACGUCACUGACGCUGAGACGCGAAAGCGUGGGGAGCAAACAGG
rnacentral:rRNA from 1 species